CCGCGGGGACUUGUUCAGGGGAGAUGAAGUGGAUGUGGGUGUCAAUGCCGCCGGCAGUGAGGAUCUUCCGUUCACCCGCGAUGAUCUCCGUGCUGGCGCCAAUCACAAUGUCCACACCGUCAGUAAUCUGCGGGUUGCCUGCCUUGCCGAUUUUGAAGAUGUGGCCGUCCUUCAAGGCAACGUCGGCCUUGUAGAUGCCGCUGUAGUCCAGGACGGUCACGUUGGUGAUGACAGUGUCCGGGAUGUCUUCGGAGCGGGUGAGUUGCCCGUUUUGGCCCAUACCGUCACGG
rnacentral:sRNA from 1 species